GACGAACGCUGGCGGCGUGCUUAACACAUGCAAGUCGAACGAUGAUGCUCCAGCUUUGUUGGGGUGGAUUAGUGGCGAACGGGUGAGUAACACGUGAGUAACCUGCCCUCUUCUUUGGGAUAACGGUCGGAAACGGCUGCUAAUACUGGAUAUUCACUCAUUGGCGCAUGUUGGUGGGUGGAAAGGUUUUUUCUGGUGGGGGAUGGGCUCGCGGCCUAUCAGCUUGUUGGUGGGGUGAUGGCCUACCAAGGCUUUGACGGGUAACCGGCCUGAGAGGGUGACCGGUCACAUUGGGACUGAGAUACGGCCCAGACUCCUACGGGAGGCAGCAGUGGGGAAUUUUGCACAAUGGGCGCAAGCCUGAUGCAGCGACGCCGCGUGGGGGAUGAAGGCCUUCGGGUUGUAAACCUUUUUCGCUCAUGGUCAAGCCGCAGCUUUGGGUUGUGGUGAGGGUAGUGGGUAAAGAAGCGCCGGCUAACUACGUGCCAGCAGCCGCGGUAAUACGUAGGGCGCGAGCGUUGUCCGGAAUUAUUGGGCGUAAAGGGCUUGUAGGCGGUUGGCCGUGUCUGCCGUGAAAUCCUCUGGCUUAACUGGGGGCGUGCGGUGGGUACGGGUUGACUUGAGUGCGGUAGGGGAGACUGGAAUUCCUGGUGUAGCGGUGGAAUGCGCAGAUAUCAGGAGGAACACCGGUGGCGAAGGCGGGUCUCUGGGCCGUUACUGACGCUGAGGAGCGAAAGCGUGGGGAGCGAACAGG
rnacentral:rRNA from 1 species